UACGUAGGGUGCGAGCGUUGUCCGGAAUUACUGGGCGUAAAGAGCUCGUAGGUGGUUUGUCGCGUUGUUUCGUGAAAAACUCACAGCUUAACUGUGGGCGUGCGGGCGAUACGGGCAGACUGGAGUACUGCAGGGGAGACUGGAAUUCCUGGUGUAGCGGUGGAAUGCGCAGAUAUCAGGAGGAACACCGGUGGCGAAAGGGCGGGGUCUCUGGGGCCGAUACUGACGCUGAGGAGCGAAAGCGUGGGGGAG
rnacentral:rRNA from 1 species